GCAUUAAUGGGGUAGUGGUAACCUGGGUCGUUGCCAUCUCGAGCAAAAAAGCUCGACCCGCCGGGGGUUCGAUUCCCCCUUAAUGCA